CUUUCAACAUUAAUAUUUUUUCCUGCAAUAUUCUUAUACUUUCAUUAAUAAUUUACUCUUUCAUAAAUACUAGGAUUCCUGCACCUAGGUAAUGUUUGGGUGCAGUAGGUCCUUGGUUUGUUUCUUGUCCUUGUCAAACUUAAAAAUUAAAAUAAGUUCUUAUCACUUCUUUCAGGUGCAGGGGUGGAUCCAGGCAUUUUCAAAAGAGGGGUCCCACUAUAUGUCCCCAUUCGAAUCAUGCAUUGAUCAUCCAAAACAAUGGAACCCUCACACUGGAUCCACCACUGAGGUGCUAGGAAUAAAAUCAUAGACUGAUUGACAUGAUUAAGUAGGAUCCAGAAUAAUAACAUAUACAAUUCUAAGAGAUCUGAUUUCAAAAUCUUAACCGAUAUAUCUCUCAUACAUUCAAGGAAACUACAUAUUUUGACCAUAGAACCAUAUUUAUAGAAAAAGUUUUAAUAAAGGUAAAAGACCAAAUCUGCAAACUAAACUGAAACAUGUAAACCCAAAUUUUUA
rnacentral:lncRNA from 1 species